UGAGGAAUAUUGGUCAAUGGGCGAGAGCCUGAACCAGCCAAGUAGCGUGCAGGAUGACGGCCCUAUGGGUUGUAAACUGCUUUUAUAUGGGAAUAAAGUGAGGGACGUGUCCCUUAUUGCAUGUACCAUAUGAAUAAGGACCGGCUAAUUCCGUGCCAGCAGCCGCGGUAAUACGGAAGGUCCAGGCGUUAUCCGGAUUUAUUGGGUUUAAAGGGAGCGUAGGCUGUUUGUUAAGCGUGUUGUGAAAUGUAAGAGCUCAACUUUUAGAUUGCAGCGCGAACUGGCAGACUUGAGUGCGCACAACGUAGGCGGAAUUCAUGGUGUAGCGGUGAAAUGCUUAGAUAUCAUGAAGAACUCCGAUUGCGAAGGCAGCUUACGGGAGCGCAACUGACGCUAAAGCUCGAAGGUGCGGGUAUCGAACAGG
rnacentral:rRNA from 1 species